rnacentral:rRNA from 1 species
GACAGAGCACAAAGAAUUUGCCUGGCGGCUUUAGCGCGGUGGUCCCACCUGACCCCAUGCCGAACUCAGAAGUGAAACGCCGUAGCGCCGAUGGUAGUGUGGGGCCUCCCCAUGCG